UGGGGAAUAUUGGACAAUGGGCGCAAGCCUGAUCCAGCCAUGCCGCGUGUGUGAAGAAGGCCUUAUGGUUGUAAAGCACUUUAAGCGAGGAGGAGGCUACUGAAGUUAAUACCUUCAGAUAGUGGACGUUACUCGCAGAAUAAGCACCGGCUAACUCUGUG
rnacentral:rRNA from 1 species